CGGGAAGCGUGGUGACGCAAGUAGAAUGUGCGCUACUGCAGGCAAGUGUGAUUGCGGUGGUAAGGGUGCUCCUGGAUGUUGUUACCAUCCACUGCCAUCGAGGGUCCCAGGUGGUGCCUGCGACCUGCUAAGUACAGGUCAAAGCUUCUAGCAAAUUUGGAUCCGUCUCUUCAGUGCAAACGUUGAACACGCCCGUCUCCUGAAGUUGCUGUCUGAGGCACUUCUAGCAGGCUCUGCACUGUGUUCCUGCUCCAGCUUCAGCAGCAGACAUCCCAGGAUGAGAGAACUAGAAGAGACUUGAGAGGUUAUUCCUUCUGUGGAUGAUAGAUUCUUCCAGGGAAUCCGCAGUGGAGUCAGGAAUUUCUGGUUCUUGGCCCAGCUGACAUGUGUACAUCUGACUGACCUCCUCUGACCCCAGGUUUGGAUGCCAUAUUGUCUGCUUCCAGAACAAGGAUCUUCACUAUACAUUGGGACCCAGGCCGCUCUGACAUCUCCUGAAUAAAAAGCGAUGUUUAAUAAAACAGUUUAAAAUUUGUAAUUC